UACCAGCUCACUUGUCUACAGGAAAACAGGAAGGAUAUACUUGACUUAUUUCACGUUAUCUUCAUCAUGUGGCAUCUCCUUGGCACACCAGUCACCCAGGACCAAGUUCUGAAUGGAGGACAGACACGUUACUACACCGUGAUAUGCAGCGUGGCCCCCCAGAGCCCACAGCAGCCCAUCGUGUUUGUGACGAUCGUCUCUCUUAAGAACAGGCGGAAGAAAACCCACGGACGUCAGCCUUGGCUCACGGAGACUCGCCAUCACGGAGCAGGAUGGUGAUACUAGCUUCGGGAACGAGAAGAUGAAGAUGAAGAAAUUAUAAAAGGAAGCAGAAGAGAUAGUAAACAAAAGAGAAGGUAAAAUCAAAGGAUAGUGUAACUGACUUGAAGAUGAAGAAAAAAAUGGAGAUCGUAGUAACAAAAAGGAUCCUGGAAUUGGCUUCAGGAACGGAGCAUUAUGAAGAUAAAAAAGGAGAUAUAGUUAGUACAAAAAAGGAGAGUUAAUGUAAAGGAUGGCAACCUAUCUUCAUGAACGGAAAAUGAAGAUAAAAAGAUUGUAGUGCUUCUUCUAGUCAGUCUUAUUACACGUGUUUUUGGCCAAUUUGUCUGUUUUGUCAGUAUAUAUCAAUAUGUAUAUAUUUAUUAGAGUGUAGGCUAGCAUUGUUGAAAUAUGCACUUUUAAUGAAUUUUAAUGUAAAGGCAUUUUUAAAUGUUUAACCAGUGUCUUUCUCUUGUGAUAGUUAAAAUUGUUGUUAUUGUUCCUGGAAAAUAAAUUUAAAUACUGAAAUAAAAUAUUUACUAUAAAGA